rnacentral:ncRNA from 1 species
GAAAGAAAACGCCACCCCUGUUGCGAAGCAGGUUCGGAAAGCUAUGGGUCUUUGAUGCUGUCGCCUGGCAGCAGACGAGAAGAUCGCCAGGUUGCCUAA